rnacentral:lncRNA from 1 species
UUUACUAAUAUAUUAUUUCCUCAAACAAAUAAAACUUUUCUUUUUUGGGAAAAUGAAAAGAAAAAAAAGUCUAUUUAAAAGUGAAUCAUUUAAUUACUCUCCUAAUCGGUAUACUCUUUAUAUAUUUAAAAUUUAGGAUAAAUUACACCAACAGUCACCCAACUUUGGGGUAACUGACAAAACAGUCACCUAAAUUUCAUUUCAG